UACGGGAGGCAGCAGUGGGGAAUAUUGCACAAUGGGCGCAAGCCUGAUGCAGCCAUGCCGCGUGUAUGAAAAAGGCCUUCGGGUUGUAAAGUACUUUCAGUCGUGAGGAAGGUGUUAAGGUUAAUAACCUUAGCAAUUGACGUUAGCGACAGAAGAAGCACCGGCUAACUCCGUGCCAGCAGCCGCGGUAAUACGGAGGGUGCGAGCGUUAAUCGGAAUUACUGGGCGUAAAGGGCACGCAGGCGGUUAAUUAAGUUGGAUGUGAAAUCCCCGGGCUUAACCUGGGAAUGGCAUUCAAGACUGGUUAGCUAGAGUCUUGUAGAGGGGGUAGAAUUCCAUGUGUAGCGGUGAAAUGCGUAGAGAUGUGGAGGAAUACCGGUGGCGAAGGCGGCCCCUGGACAAAGACUGACCCG
rnacentral:rRNA from 1 species